rnacentral:pre_miRNA from 1 species
UUAACUUAGAUUUGUAUGCAGUUGGAACAGCGCCCCUAGCGGCAAACGUAGGCAAACGUUCCAACUCCAUACAAAUUUGAGUUA